rnacentral:rRNA from 1 species
AGCAGCCGCGGUAAUUCCAGCUCCAAUAGCGUAUAUUAAAGUUGUUGCAGUUAAAAAGCUCGUAGUUGAAUUUCGGGGUUUAUCCGUUGGUCGGGCUUUUGGGUCUGUACUGGCGUGAUGGAUUCCUACCUUCUGAAUAACCAGCAUGUCAUUAAUUUGGUGCGUUGGGGAAGCAGGACUGUUACCUUGAAAAAAUUAGAGUGCUUAAAGCAGGCUAUUGCCUGAAUACAUUAGCAUGGAAUAAUGAAAUAGGACGCAUGGUUCUAUUUUGUUGGUUUCUAGGAUCACCGUAAUGAUUAAUAGGGAUAGUUGGGGGCAUUAGUAUUCAAUUGUCAGAGGUGAAAUUCUUGGAUUUAUUGAAGACUAACUUCUGCGAAAGCAUUUGCCAAGGAUGUUUUCAUUAAUCAAGAACGAAAGUUAGGGGAUCGAAGACGAUCAGAUACCGUCGUA